AUAGCUCUGUGAUAGAGUGCUUGCCUAGCAUGCAAGAAGCCCUGGAUUUGAUCUCCAGU
rnacentral:tRNA from 1 species